rnacentral:rRNA from 1 species
AUUGAACGCUGGCGGCAUGCUUUACACAUGCAAGUCGAACGGUAAAGGGCCUUGGGGGGUGGCCGGUGGGGGACGGGGGGGUAAUGGAACCGGACCGUCCCCGGGGUUGGGGGAAACCCCACCAAAAGCUGGGCUAAAACCCCAGGGGAUCUGGGGUGAAAAGCGGGGACCGGGCAGGAAAUUUUUGCCCUCGGCCCUUGGAACGGCCCGAUGUCGGAUUAGCUAGUUGGUGGGGUAAAGGCCUACCAAGGCGACGAUCCGUAGCUGGUCUGAGAGGACGACCAGCCACACUGGGACUGAGACACGGCCCAGACUCCUACGGGAGGCAGCAGUGGGGAAUUUUGGACAAUGGGCGCAAGCCUGAUCCAGCAAUGCCGCGUGCGGGAAGAAGGCCUUCGGGUUGUAAACCGCUUUUGGCAGGAACGAAACGGUGUCCGCUAAUACCGGGCGCUAAUGACGGUACCUGCAGAAUAAGCACCGGCUAACUACGUG